rnacentral:rRNA from 1 species
GACGAACGCUGGCGGCGUGCUUAACACAUGCAAGUCGAGCGGUAAGGCCCUUUCGGGGGUACACGAGCGGCGAACGGGUGAGUAACACGUGGGUGACCUGCCCUCAGCUCUGGGAUAAGCCCGGGAAACUGGGUCUAAUACUGGAUAUUACUCUGCGGUGCAUGCCGUGGGGUGGAAAGCCUUGUGCGGCUGGGGAUGGGCCCGCGGCCUAUCAGCUUGUUGGUGGGGUGAUGGCCUACCAAGGCGACGACGGGUAGCCGGCCUGAGAGGGCGACCGGCCACACUGGGACUGAGACACGGCCCAGACUCCUACGGGAGGCAGCAGUGGGGAAUCUUGCGCAAUGGGCGAAAGCCUGACGCAGCGACGCCGCGUGAGGGAUGACGGCCU